AAAACGUUAGAGCAGCGCUCUGCAGGGGAAGGGUCUUAAAAUGUAGCCGCUGUGGAAGGCCUGGGGCAACAAUUGGUUGCCGUGUUGAUAGAUGUCCCAAAACUUAUCACCUGCCUUGUGCACGGGCAAAUGGCUGCAUCUUUGACCAUCGUAAAUUUCUCAUUGCCUGUACAGAUCACCGACAUCUCUUCCAACCAUAUGGAAGUAAU
rnacentral:misc_RNA from 1 species